GUUUCCGUAGUGUAGCGGUUAUCACGUUAAGCCUCACACGAAAGGUCCCCAGUUCGAAACUGGGCGGAAACA
rnacentral:tRNA from 1 species